ACAUCAGCUGAGGUUCUAAGACUUGGAAGCCACAGAAAUACAGAAUGCCACUCUAAGGAUACACAAAACGCAGAGAUACAGUCAGAAACAAUGAAAGAUGCAAUUCUCCACUAUCUCUGGAGCUUCCCCUGUGUCAUAGGACUGCCAUAUGGUGCCAGCGUUCAAGCCCAGGAUUUCUCACAAGGGGACUGAAUAACUGCAAGAACAGAAACUUUCCAUCCCUGACCCGUUAAAUGGGCACUCCUGUUUCUGCCUGCAGAUACAGAUCUUGGAGUGUUGCUCAAUUGUGAAUUAUGGUGGUGCUGAGGACUAAACCUGGGACCUUUGGCACCUUACACAUCAAAGUAUUUUU